rnacentral:rRNA from 1 species
UACGUAGGGUGCGAGCGUUGUCCGGAAUUGUUGGGCGUAAAGAGCUCGUAGGCGGUGUGUCACGUCGGCCGUGAAAACCUGGGGCUUAACUCUGGGCGUGCGGUCGAUACGGGCAUCACUAGAGUUCGGCAGGGGAGACUGGAAUUCCUGGUGUAGCGGUGAAAUGCGUAGAUAUCGGGAGGAACACCAGUGGCGAAGGCGACUAUCUGGGCUGCAACUGACGCUGAGGCGCGAAGGCUAGGGUAGCAAACAGG